rnacentral:rRNA from 1 species
UGAUUCCCCUAGUAACGGCGAGUGAACAGGGAAAAGCUCAAAGUUGGAACCUCCUGGCCCUAGGCCUGGCGGAUUGUAAACUAAAGCUUUCGAGUAGCUCGGCUAGCCCGGUAAAUAAGUUCUCUGGAAAGGGACGACAUGGAGGGCGAAAUCCCCGUCUUUGGCCGGAGCAUAGUCCAGCGUUUGCUUGGAAGUGAAGAGUCAGGUUGUUUGGUAUUGCAGCCUAAAGCUGGAGGUAAAUCUCUCCUAAAGCUAAAUAUUGACGAAAGACCGAUAGCGAACAAGUACCGUGAGGGAAAGAUGAAAAGCACUUUGGAAAGAGGGUCAAAAAGUACGUGAAAUUGCUGAAAGGGAACCGUAUGAAAUCAGCUUGACUUUUUGGUAAUCAACCUGGGCUUCGGCCUGGGUGCACUUGCCAGUGAGUUAGCCUGCGACAAUUUGAUUUGGGGGAAGAAAUUAGAGAGAAUGUGGCCUUGACUUCGUGUGAAGGUGUUAUAGCUCUUUGAAAAAUACCCUGGAUUGGAUUGAGGACUGCAGCGAGCCUUUUGGGAUGAACUGUGGGCGCUUGGUUACCUAUCAAAGAAAAUCUCUGCUUCGGGUGGUGUUUUUUGAUAGGCGGCCAACUCGCUUACUUUUUCUUUUUCUUGCUUAGGUCGCAGGCAUAAUGAUUUUAUAUGACC